UGGGGAAUAUUGCACAAUGGAGGGAACUCUGAUGCAGCGACGCCGCGUGAACGAAGAAGGCUUUCGAGUCGUAAAGUUCUUUUAUAUGGGAAGAUAAUGACGGUACCAUAAGAAAAAGCCCCGGCUAACUACGUGCCAGCAGCCGCGGUAAUACGUAGGGGGCUAGCGUUGUCCGGAAUCACUGGGCGUAAAGGGUUCGCAGGCGAAAAUGCAAGUCAGGUGUAAAAGGCAGUAGCUUAACUACUGUAAGCAUUUGAAACUGCAUAUCUUGAGAAGAGUAGAGGUAAGUGGAAUUUUUAGUGUAGCGGUGAAAUGCGUAGAUAUUAAAAAGAAUACCGGUGGCGAAGGCGACUUACUGGGCUCAUUCUGACGCUGAGGAACGAAAGCGUGGGUAGCAAACAGG
rnacentral:rRNA from 3 species